AAUAUAUUCUUUCUGCUCACGUUUUUCUUUUGCAAUUUGCAGAUUAUUCUGUCAACCACAGUUGGAGAUAUGUCAUUCUCUCACUUUUGUCCAACUUCAUAAAAAGCUUGUUUAAUUUAAUCUGUAUCAUAUUCUGUCUCUCAGAAAUGUGACCAAUAGGACGGGCCGCUGUCAUUGCCUGCUGUGUGUAAAGUACAGUUCAUUAGAGCGUGACAGAAAGCUGUGGAUUCAUAACUGGACUUGUGUUUACAUUUAGAGGAUGCAUUGUGGUUUCAUGUAUCCCCGUCAAGUUCAGCAAUAAAGAGAGUAGAAGCCUGUUUCUUCUGAUUCAUUCUGUGCAGUGAGAGAGUUAAUGUGUCCCAGUGUUGUUACACAAUGACUCAGAUGUGUUAAGUGAGAUCAAUGUACAUUACAGUCUUUAGACAGUUUUGACUUUGUUUCUAAAUGUGCCCAGUCCAAAAAUGUCUCCUCAACAAUCAACUGCUUUACAUAGAUCAUUCAUGAAUCAUUUCUUUGGAUCUGAUCUUGUUACAAUCUGUGACAUUACAUCAGAACUUUGAUUUGAUAGAUUUGAUAGGACUUUAUUUCCCUCUGGCCCCGAAAAACAUCUACAAAAAAUCCUUCAUUCCCUCUGCAAUAACCAUUCUGAACAAAAUCAAAUAGACCCCCCCUUUUUAGAAACUGUUGUUUUUAAGUCCUCUUUUAAUGUACUGCACUUUCUGUUUUUAAUGUAUGUUGUGUUUAUUGUUCGAGCCUUGUCAAAGGAGAAUUUCUGUCUCUGUUGGGACAGACAAUAAAGUCUAUCUAUCUAU